UAAUGCAUUUUUUGAUGUUUGCAUGAAGCUAUUGAAUUGGUAAUAUCUAUAAGUAUGAAAAAAAAGUAGUAUACUAAGGGGCGAAAUGUAGGCAAACUAUUAAGCUAUUCAUAAUCUCGCGGGGCAUUGAUAAUAAAUUACUCACAACUCUUUUUGUACGGAAUGCCCCCGCCCCGUAUUUUCAUUUAUUCUUAAUAGUAUUUAGAUCGAAUAGUUUUUCUCGUGUAUCUGUGAACAUUGCAUAGGUGCUCGGCGUUUUUUAACUCUACCAAAUUCUGUUUUUUACCUAUACAGUCGUAAAACGGAUUCCCAUGAACUUAAUUACCGUUGAACGAUGAUGGUAAAUUGAUAACCUGCAACGUCCUCGUCGUCACCACCCGUCAGUUUAAUUUUCAAAACAUUAUGAUGCAGUUGUACAAUAAUGAAUUUUGAUGUCGAAAGCUCGGUGAGUUUGACACUUUAAUUGGUAAAUUGAUCGUCAUCACUUCAAAUAAUAACUCUUUGACAUUUAGUUUACUAAAGACGUUUAAAUUUAUGUUCAAUAGGGUCAGUAAUAUUAUUUAAUAAUAACUAAACUUCAUUAGAGAGUUAAACGUGCACGCUUUUUUAUUAUCAUAGCUUGAUACUGUAUUGUUUUUUUAGUAUUUAUAUUUUAUUAUAAAGCAUAAGCAAGUUCUAAAUGAAACCAGGCUAUUAGACAUUGUAUUUUUAAAUAUCCAUACAACCUUUUAUUUACCCUGUGACUGUACAAAAUAAACAAAGAUUAUAGUUUAUAGGAGCCAGUAAACUGAUAAAAAAGUUCACUUAGUAAUGGAUAGACAUCACCUCGAUUCACAGUUGGAAGAAUGCAUGUGGCAAAUACUAAUUGAUGUUAUAUCUUAUGCAAUUUUGAUAGAUCACUCUAUGUAUAGUGAUAAUUCAGAUAUUUAAAAAUAAAAAAACCAAGAAAUCCAUUAAUUUAUUUAACAGUUACUACAUAAUACUUAAUUAUAUAAGUACUGUUUUAGCUACCAGAGUAUUAGCUAUACUUGCCUUCCUAAAACUAUACAGGAUUAUUUUGUUUGAACAACAUUUUAUCAUACCCUUGUCCUUAUUUUCAAUUUAUUAUCAAUGACAGAUUCACAAAGAGUUAUAAUAAUAGGAUUAUGAUAUUAUGUUUAUCCAUGACUUAACAAUAUAACAAAUUAUCUGACCAAUAACCUAUUAACCUAUAUUAUUUAUCUUCGCCUAUUUAUGUAGCAUAUUCAUUUUUAUUAACAUUAUUAAUAAUAAUUAUAGCAACCAACAUGGAAACUAUGGGGUGAAGAAAAAGAAAUUGAUGCAGUCUACACAAUUUAUUUAAAAAAAGUACGAUAUCAGAAUCCUACGAAAACACUAUUGUUGGUAUGUUUAUUUUUAAAUUAGUAAAUUAUUUAGUUAUUUACUUAUAAAUAAUAGUAGAAAAGAAAAAAACAAUAUUAUUCACAUACAUAUUUAUUAAUUUUAUCUUAAUAUUUGAGAAUACAUAUAAUUUAUUAUUUUAAGUAAGUAAAAUAAAUUAUAGCAUGUCUUCUUGUCUUAAAUAUGUUCAUAUUAGAUACAUUUUUCAAAUUUCAAAUCAAGUUUCCUUUUUAUUUAUUGGUUAUUCAAAUUGGCCACAGAUAAUAAUCUGGGAAACCUUAUUUUCUUAUAUUAGAUUUUGAGCGAAGUGAGUAAUAUAUUAAUUAUUAUGUGGGUUUUUUUUCUGUAUCUGUUAAUUUUUUUUUUAACCUAUAAACUUUGAAUAUUAGUGUUUUCAAAAUAAAUCCAAAAAGUUAUUUAAAAAAUAGUUGAGUAGUCUGGUAUCUCAUAGCGAUAUUUAGGUUUACACUGAUCUCCUUCUAGUAGUAUUAGGUCAGGUGUUAUCCUGUUCAUAGUGGGAGGGUGCAUAUUAUGAAAUAUAAUUUAUUGUGGUAUAUUGCCCAUUACCACAUAUGCUCUCCGCAAGGUUUAUUUUUAUGUACAGGUAUAAACUAAAUUCUUCUAUCAGUCUAUAUGUACAACUUUUCAACUUCCCUCGAAAACAUUGGAAUACCCAUCAGUAGUAUUAACAUUUUUUUUAUUUUUUUUUUUAUUUUUUAGAGUUUUUUCACCAAAACAAUAUUAGUUAUUAGGUUUUUUUUAAAACUAAACAAAAUAUUAUACAUUACUAUUCACUAUUUAAACUUGAGGCUUUUCUAUUAGUAUAAAUAUGAGCCUAAAAAUGUUAUUAUAUAUUUAUUUGUAACACAUAACUUAUGAUAUGUUAUAUUAAUUCAAUCAAUUUUUACAGCUAUGAUAAACAUGUUUUCCAUUGUAUUACUUUUUUUCCUAGAUCUGUUAUUUUAACAUUUACCGAUAUACUAUUAUAGGAGUCUGAUGAUGAACGAUCCCAUCUGGAAUGGGAAACUGUUAGAGUUAAAUUCAUUAAAGCUGGAACAAUUGAAAAAUUGGUUAAUAGUCUGGCAUCAGAUGAUGGAGAGCUAGAGUCUACUUUUGUAAAUAUAUUUCUCGCUACAUAUAGAACUUAUGCAUCAUCUCAUCAUGUACUGUCUUUAUUAAUUGAAAGGUAUAUGCAAUUAUUAUUUAUCUAAAAUAAUUUAAACCAAUAGAAG
rnacentral:lncRNA from 1 species